AUGAGGCCUUGCUGACAGCUUCCAGACUGAAAAAGAAAGCAGAGGGAAAAGGAGCAUUUCCCUGACCUUCCUCGGUGAUUGCUCAGAACUGUGUCUACUGAUGGCCGUGUCUAACACUGUCAAGAAGAGCCAAGAGAAGUAAAAAUCUGAGGAGUGAGAUGUUCUGCUAGCAUAGAAAAGCCAGCUGGAGAAACAAAAACAAACGUCACACAGCUGUACAAACGAGGGGGAAUUGUUACAGUCACUGUAGGAACAUAAAUGGAGAACCAGCCUAAGAAGUGUGAGGAAACUGAGGGCAACAGAAUGAAUUGAUCACACCGCACCAUGAAGCAGAUGGGCCCGAUGAGGUGCAUCUUCCACUGAGAAAUCAUUCAGCAAUACAUGAAUGCACUGUUUGAUGCCACCUUAUCAAAAUCAAUAAUUUGUCUUUCAAAACAGCUUUUUAUGUAAGGAAAGGCCAGAUGUGAGUUUUAUCCAAGACAGAAAAGCCAUCCUGAACUUCUCCUCCUCACAGAAUUGUAGCAGGGGAAGGAGGAUUUGACCCUCACUAAGUGAAGGAGUUGCUGAUUUAGUCAAGACAAGAACAGGAUGCGAUGCUUUGGUCUGGUGCAUUGACAUUUGCAUCUCUGAGUGAGAAUGCUUGUUUUCAUUGGAGGAACAGCAAGGCUGCCUUUUGAAACACUUAAGGGGAGAAUGCAGAGAAAACCAGGAGUUUGAAGAGGCUGCUCGCUGGCAAACCAGACCGCAGCAUUUGCUACGGUGGUCGUAGAUCAGUCUGCUCAGAGAAAGCGGCCAUUGUCAGAAGAUUCCCACUCAAGUCCCAUUGACUUUAUGGAUAGUCCUCGGGAUCUUGUCUGAGCACAUCCAAAUGUUUGUACAGCACCUGAUGCAAACAGGCCGUCGUCCUGCUUCAUUUGUCAAAUGAUAAAUAACAUAAUAAUGCUAUAAUUGAAGUCAUUCAUACAGGCAGUAAUCAUCUGGUGAUUCAGUACAGCACAGACUUGUUAGGUGGAAGGCUGUGCUAAGCGUAUGCGGAGACUUCUAUCUUGCUCAUCAGUUUCUGCAUGCUAAAUAUAUUCUGAAUU